rnacentral:rRNA from 1 species
UACGUAGGGCGCAAGCGUUGUCCGGAAUUAUUGGGCGUAAAGAGCUCGUAGGCGGCCUGUUGCGUCCGCUGUGAAAUCCCGGGGCUUAACCCCGGGCUUGCAGUGGAUACGGGCAGGCUGGAGGCAGGCAGGGGAGAACGGAAUUCCCGGUGUAGCGGUGAAAUGCGCAGAUAUCGGGAGGAACACCAAUGGCGAAGGCAGCUCGCUGGGACGGUACUGACGCUGAGACGCGAAAGCGUGGGGAGCAAACAGG